rnacentral:rRNA from 1 species
CAGCUAGUUGGCAGGGUAACAGCCUACCAAGGCAACGAUCAGUAGCUGGUGUGAGAGCAUGACCAGCCACACGGGCACUGAGAUACGGGCCCGACUCCUACGGGAGGCAGCAGUAAGGAAUAUUGGUCAAUGGACGCAAGUCUGAACCAGCCACGCCGCGUGCAGGAUGAAGGCGCUCUGCGUCGUAAACUGCUUUUUUCAGAGAAGAAAAGGUUUGUUUCUACAGAUUUUGACGGUAUCUGAUGAAUAAGCACCGGCUAACUCCGUGCCAGCAGCCGCGGUAAUACGGAGGGUGCAAGCGUUAUCCGGAUUUACUGGGUUUAAAGGGUGCGUAGGCUGAUUGAUAAGUCAGUGGUGAAAUCCUCGGGCUCAACCCGGGAAUUGCCGUUGAUACUAUUAGUCUUGAAUAUAGUUGAGGUGAGCAGAAUGCGUGGUGUAGCGGUGAAAUGCUUAGAUAUUACGCAAAAUACCGAUUGCGAAGGC